ACUGUAUGAACUGACAGUAGAAUAUUAUUGAAAUGAUAUUUUAAAAUAUCAUCCAUGUCUACCCCCAUUUUAUGAAUCUAAUUACAUUUUAAUUAUCGUUUUAAAAUUUGUCACGGCGCAACAAGGAUAACCAAUCAGAGACUGUGAUCAAAGAGAUGUCAAUCAUUUGCACACAUGCACUACGCACACGCAGCCUCAUGGGGACACACAGUAGCUUUUCGCAAUAGAAGAUUAUUAUAGUUUCUUGGCCAGAUUUUUUAUUUUUUUCAUUUUUUUUGUCCUGUGUGGCUGUCAAGCAGAAAGGAAUAUCUAUAUCCUUUUUAUGCCGGAACAAUUUUACUGUGUCGCAGUGAACUUUUUAAGCCGCCACUGUGGUUUCUUUGUAUUCUGAUGGAUAUUUAUUGAGAAUUAUAGUCGUUCAGUCAAACAGAACAUCGUUUUUAAAGGGGAGUGACGGGGAAAAAAACAAAGGAGAGAGAGUGAAAAUAAUAUAGGAAAAGAAGACAACAAAAGACAAAGCACUAGCACAGGGACAGGAGGGGAAGCAUGCAGGACAAGGGUUCAUGGACCCGGCUCUACAACUGAAGUGUGGUGGGAGGGGCUAUGUAAAUUAAAAACCUCUGUAGGACCAGAGUGAAAGUGAGGGGAUACCCAAGAAAUUUGCAUAGUCAUGUUAUUUGUCGCAAUGAGUGAGUGGCCCCACACCCAGCGAAUAAGUCCCAGGGCUGUGUGUCUGCAGACACAUGCAAGUGAAUUGACACCGUUUAGCAUGCACAAUAACCGUCAGAAGUGUCCUGUAUUUGCUGUGCCUGCACCGCGAGGGUUGAGGACCCCACCCCACCCUAUCGGGAGGCGGGGUCGGGUCCAGGGAUCCACCCGAGAGCGGCCCGGUGGACGGGACACCUCCCACACCGAGGGAUCCAGGGUACUCCAACGGCUCCACUGAGGCGCCGCGAAAACCGGCCACCCACAGGAGGCUGCAGGGACCCAAUGACAGCCAACCCCCCCACUCCCAGGAGAGCGAGACCCCCCCCCCCCCCCCCCCAACCCAAUGCCCUUCAGAGAUAGGUGUGUGUCGUGCAUUAAAAGAAAGGGAAUGAGUUUAAUGCAUUAAAAUCUUGGGGGGCAGGCAGGGCGGAGGAGCAGGGCGUCUAGACCGGGAAACGGCACUGAUGUACAGAAACCCGGUUAGAAACCCGCACUCUCCCGACCCCACACCAGCCCCCCAAGAAACCCUGGAUAUGUGUGUGUGUGAAAAACAUUUUCAGUGAAUGGAUGCGAGUGUGUGCUAAGUGAGUGAUUAAGAGGCAUGGCCUCUGCAGGUCGGGCCCAUUCCAAAGCCAGAUUAUUUAACCCUGAUUAACAACAAAAAUUCAAAAUAGGAAUUGGACAGCUCUCAAGACAAAUCGAGUGUAAACGUAUAAUGUUGGUGUCCCAUACGAUUACGGCUCUCGAUGGCUGGGGUUGGAAAACCAAAGCCAACGUUACCAUUCGCACUGGGUCAUCAGCUCAGUGUCAUGAGCUGCCCUGCAGUUCUACCGUUGGAGCCUGGGUGGCGCUUUGCGCCCUCUCGCUCUCUGUCGCCCCUCCCCUCUCUCUUUCCAGCACCUUCCUCGGCCGGGCACCUGUCACCAAUCAGCCCUCGUUUCCACCUGCUUUUAAGCCUGCCUGAACCCGGAAAAGCUUGCCAGAGUAUUGACGCGUCUGCUGCGUGUUCCCUAUCAAGUGGAUUCCUGUCACCACCCCAACAAGCCAGCCGCCUGUCACACAUUCUCUGCCUCAACAACCACCAGCACAGCUCAAGGGCCCUCCCCAUUACCCUUUUUUUCAAUAAACUUAUUAUUAUUACAACC